rnacentral:misc_RNA from 1 species
GAUGAAGAACGUAGCGAAAUGCGAUAAGUAAUGUGAAUUGCAGAAUUCAGUGAAUCAUCGAAUCUUUGAACGCACAUUGCGCCCGCCAGUAUUCUGGCGGGCAUGCCUGUUCGAGCGUCAUUACAACCCUCAGGCCCCCGGGCCUGGCGUUGGGGAUCGGCGGAAGCCCCCUGUGGGCACACGCCGUCCCUCAAAUACAGUGGCGGUCCCGCCGCAGCUUCCAUUGCGUAGUAGCUAACACCUCGCAACUGGAGAGCGGCGCGGCCAUGCCGUAAAACACCCAACUUCUGAAUGUUGACCUCGAAUCAGGUAGGAAUACCCGCUGAACUUAAGCAUAUCAAUAAGGGAGGA